GGGGCUGUAGCUCAGUAGUAGAGCACUUGCCUUGCAAGUGUGAGGUACUAGGUUCAUCUCAGCUCCA
rnacentral:tRNA from 1 species